CCAACCGGGAUUGCCUUAGUAACGGCGAGUGAAGCGGCAAAAGCUCAAAUUUGAAAUCUGGCGUCUUCGACGUCCGAGUUGUAAUUUGAAGAAGGCGACUUUGUAGCUGGUCCUUGUCUAUGUUCCUUGGAACAGGACGUCAUAGAGGGUGAGAAUCCCGUGUGGCGAGGAUCCCAGUUAUUUGUAAAGUGCUUUCGACGAGUCGAGUUGUUUGGGAAUGCAGCUCUAAGUGGGUGGUAAAUUCCAUCUAAAGCUAAAUAUUGGCGAGAGACCGAUAGCGAACAAGUACAGUGAUGGAAAGAUGAAAAGAACUUUGAAAAGAGAGUGAAAAAGUACGUGAAAUUGUUGAAAGGGAAGGGCAUUUGAUCAGACAUGGCGUUUGCUUCGGCUUUCGCUGGGCCAGCAUCAGUUUUAGCGGUUGGAUAAAUCCUCGGGAAUGUGGCUCUGCUUCGGUAGAGUGUUAUAGCCCGUGGGAAUACAGCCAGCUGGGACUGAGGAUUGCGACUUUUGUCAAGGAUGCUGGCGUAAUGGUUAAAUGCCGCCCGUCUUGAAACACGGACCUCCUGUGUGAAGUGA
rnacentral:rRNA from 1 species